GCCUGGCUAGCUCAAUCGGUAGAGCGUGAGACUCUUAUCAUCUCAAGGCUGUGGGUUCAAGCCCCACGUCGGGCU
rnacentral:tRNA from 1 species